rnacentral:misc_RNA from 1 species
UGAAAAUGCUGAUUAAUUUUACAAAAUGUCACAGUGGAAAUGGUACUUAUGAAUACGUAAUAACGUAUGACUGUUUUGGUUGCAUAUUUUACACCAGUUGAAUUUAAUGAAAUAUUGUAGACAUUCUCAAAUUCUUUUAUUUUGUCUUUUGGUGAAUAUUUUUAUCUUUCUGCUGUUGUUUUUGUCUCAACCAGGGACCAAUGACCAUAAACACAAACAAGGUAGACCAAAAUCUAUUGGAGGAAAAUUUACAGUUGUGAUUAUUGAAUUUGAAGAAUUUGAAAAUGACAUUCCAAACACAGUGGAUUCAAUAUUAAAUUUGUUCCCUGAUGUAAAUAUUUUAAUUGUCAGCAAGAAAUUGCCAUACCCACCUGUAGAUGUAUCUCAGGAUAAUGUCAAGGUUGUUGUAAGAGAUCAGGCAAGCAGUGAUCCAAAAAAAUGGGGUGAUCCAUCAUUCUACAUCAAGACAAAGUAUGUUUUAUUGAUCCCGGAUUCAGUGAGACUACACAAUGGUAAAAAACUGAAAAACUUCAACUAUGAAAAGUUGAACACCAUAGAUGGAGCAAGGAUCGCUGCUUUUCCUGUUGGCAGCAAUUACCAGUGUUCAAAACUAAAAGUUGACUACAGGCAUUGGACAAUGUCAUACACAGACAAAACAUAUGAUGGAGUUUGUGAUGCUAUAAGUGGCACAUCAAAAGUUGUUUUAUUACUUCAAUCUUCCCAUCUGGCCAAUCUGAGUGAACCAUUUCUGAGGCCAUACCCUGAAGGUCUGUUUAUUCAGUUUGCUUCAAAAGGUUGGAAAACAACAGUUUAUGAUAAUAACAUUUUCACCCCAGGGAAAGAACUAUUCACUGAUACACAUAAAAGAUGGAAAGCUGAUCAGAAAAAGAAUGAACGAUUGUUGAGAAUGUACAAAAGAUUUGGCAUAAAACUUAUUAACGAAAAUGGGGUGGAAAAUUGGUACGGAUGCAAUAAACAAACAGCACGGUGUUUUGGAACAGUAAUAGAUGACAUGCCAGAAUAUAUAUACCAAGGAAGAUUGACACCACCGUGUUGUAUGCGUCAUUUGAAGGAGACAACGCGUUAUGUACUUAGUACAUUGGUGAAGUCUGGAGUCAGUUACUGGCUUGAGGGUGGUAGUUUACUUGGUGCAGUAAGGAAUGGAGACAUCAUACCUUGGGAUUAUGAUGUUGAUAUUGGUAUUUACCAGCACGAAAUUAGCAAGUGCAGCCAACUGCAGCUUGUUCAAGAGUCCCCACAGAAGAGAUAUACAGAUGAUCAAGGCUUUGUUUGGGAGAAAGCGCGAGAGGGAGAGUUUUUCCGGGUUCAAUUUAGUGAAACAAAUCAUUUACACAUAUAUUUCCAUUCUACGAAAAGAAUGGUAUAAUGACAAAAAAUACUUGGUUUAAAACACACCGCCAAGACUCGGAAUUUCCUGCACAUUAUUUGAAACCUUUAACAACUUUGGAUUUUGCUGGUAUUAAAGCAUCUGUUCCAAACAACUAUAGAGAAUUUUUAGAAUUAAAAUUUGGUAAAGGUGUCAUUGAAAAUCCGCAAUUU